UACGUAGGGGGCUAGCGUUGUCCGGAAUCAUUGGGCGUAAAGAGCGUGUAGGCGGCCCGGUAAGUCCGCUGUGAAAGUCGGGGGCUCAACCCUCGAAUGCCGGUGGAUACUGUCGGGCUAGAGUGCGGAAGAGGCGAGUGGAAUUCUCGGUGUAGAGGUGAAAUUCGUAGAUAUCGAGAGGAACACCGGCGGCGAAGGCGGCCCACUGGACAGAUACUGACGCUGAGACUCGAAAGCGUGGGGAGCAAACAGG
rnacentral:rRNA from 1 species